UACCAGCUCUCCGAGUGGUAGGGAUGAUUAUUGGGCUUAAAGCGUCCGUAGCCGGCUUAGCAAGUUUCCUGUUAAAUUCAGCGACCUAAUCGUUGAGCCGCGGGAAAUACUACUAGGCUAGGAGGCGGGAGAGGUCGACGGUACUUCUGGGGUAGGGGUGAAAUCCUAUAAUCCCGGGAGGACCACCAGUGGCGAAGGCUGUCGACUAGAACGCGCUCGACGGUGAGGGACGAAAGCUGGGGGGAGCGAACCGGAUUAGAUACCCGGGUAGUCCCAGCUGUAAACGAUGCAGGCUAGGUGUUUAGACGGCCACGUGCCGUUCUAGUGCCGCAGGGAAGCCGUUAAGCCUGCCGCCUGGGGAGUACGGCCGCAAGGCUGAAACUUAAAGGAAUUGGCGGGGGAGCACCACAAGGGGUGAAGCUUGCGGUUU
rnacentral:rRNA from 1 species